rnacentral:lncRNA from 1 species
CUGUGAAGUACCUAUGAUUGCUUCCAUUGGCAAGUGGGAUUCAGAGAGAUCCAGUGACUUCAAUGCAAUUAAUUCAGUUUGACAGACAUCUGUGGGGCACCAGAUUCUGGAGAUUUUGUUGAGACGCUGAGGCCACAGGGCCAUAGGAGGCGACGCCCGGCUGCGUGGAGCUGCUGGAUGAGAAUGAGGCCCAGAAGAGGCCUUGACUACAGCUUUGUGAGACCCUGAGCAGAGGCCCCUGUUAAGCUGUGUGCCUGGACCCUUGACGCACAGAAAUCGUGAGGCCCCAUCAGAGCCCUCGAGAGCCGUGUGUGGCCACCGUCAGCUGUCUCACCCAGAACUCCUGCAGCCCCAGGAUGCAUCACAUGACCGCGGACUCACAAAGCCAUGGAAAAGGCACUAGAAAAAGGAGCUGGUUCCUCUGGGACAAUGCAGCCCACAACCUCCCAGGCCAAGUGCACAGUCCCAUUCGACCCCUUCCCCAAGCCAGUCAGAUUUCCUGUGCAGAGUCCAAACUGCAUGAUUAUGCUCAGUGCAGUGGCCCUGAAGAAAACAGAAAAGAAAGAAAGCACUGAUUCAAGAGGCCUUUGUGCUGAGGGACAGCUGUCCCUUCACCACACAGCACGGCGUCUGGAGGCCAGCCCUUCCAGGGUCCCAUUCACGAGUCAUCAGGAGAAUAUCAGGGAGAAAGCAAGCUGAGUCUCUUAGCAGAACUUUUCUUCAAACUCAAAUGGAAAAACAAAGGUGUUUCAGGAUAAGAAGAUUGAUAUGAGUCAAAGAU